rnacentral:rRNA from 1 species
UCCCAGACCCACACGCAGCCAGCAGCCACAUACCUUACCUUGAGGAGCGAGGGGAGUGGCCGACGAGCCGUCAGCUCCCUCCAGAUCCGCGGCGAGAUAUCAGCUCCCUCCAGAUCCGCGGCGAGCCGUGAACGAGACAAACUGAAGGAUGGAAUUGAAAUUUGAGGAGGUAGCUGCCCUAGACAAAGAUAACGUUAGUGGUGAAGAUGGAUUAAUUACAGUAAGAAGUGCGUAUCCACGGACCCGUGGCCCUCACUUUAAACUCACUGAGGGAUUUAAUAUGAGAAAGAUUGAAGAGCUUAUGCUAGAAAAGUCUGUUUCGAUGGCCAAGUCCAUAGCAAAUGAGAUAAUCAUCCUAGACCCUACUCCCCAGUGGGUGUGUGAUAUCUUCUUCGACAAAUACGCCAAAUUGGAGCCCAUCUUUUUGAAGGAUAGUGUCCAGUGCUUCCUUGGAUUAUUCAAGAGCUGUGGGGGCAGGGGCAUGUCAUGGAAUCUUACCAUCACUGCACAAACCUUAACCUUCAUGAUCAGUUUCAAUGCCUUGCAAUGUGCACAAGUUGUAUUGGAGGGUGAGGCACCUGAGCUCCGUGGGAUGCACGCCAAUCCCAACUGCAUAAACAAAUAUGGAUACUUCUCGCUCCACGAAGCUGCUGAAAGGUUCUCUGUUGACAUGAUCAAGCUGCUUCUACGCCAUGGUGCAUCAGCCAAUGUACGCACAGUUGGCAAUGAUAUCAUUGAGGAUCUACUCCCGCUCCAUGUUGCAGUUGAGAAUACUUGCCUGCAUAAGUAUCUGGAGGACAAUCUUUCUCCCAGCCAGAAUCAUCUGGAUUAUAUCUACAAUCUUAUCCGUCUGCUGUGUCUACCUGAAAUGAAGAUCUUCUUGGAUACAACUAGACUGCUUGCAGAAAAAACAAAUAAUCUACUUGGAGAGCUCUGGAAAUACAUUGAGGAUGGAAAACUUACGCAGUCUGCAGUUCUACUACUGGCCGCUCAAGAGCAGAUCCGUGGAGGCUGUUCAUCCAGUAGUAAGAAAGAUGGGUUUGACAUGAUCAAGAGCAGUAUACUGAGGCUUUCAUUUACCUUGAUAUGGGGGAAGGGUUCAAGUGAAAUGCCACAGAAGCUUCCGGAGGAAAUGAAGGCACUUUAUUGCGCAGGGCUGCUUGUUGAUGUAAUUUCCCGUGUCGGUGAACCUCUUUCUGCAUACAUUCAAGCACAUUCAGAGGUGCCCAAUGUGGAGGUCUUGGAACAUGUUUCAUCUAUCCUCAAGGAGUAUGGAUUUUGCCCUACUGGAGAUUCCAUGGACACUUUAAACCUCCAGCCUUAUGACUGCAAAAUGUCGGACAGAGAAUCAUGCGAGUCUACAGAUACAAACAUGGCAGCUACGAAAACGGCCAAUCUGCAUGCUGCAAAGAAAAAGCCUGCGAGAAAGAAAGUAGGUGGAGGAUGGGAUCCCACAUAUGCAAGGAGAAGAUUUUUCCCAUAUUGGAGAUCAGUGUUACAAGCCCGGUUUCCUGUGAAGGUGUAUCCAAACUAUGCAAGAACAGAUCUUGAACAACUCCAUGUCUCUCUGAGAACCUCAGUGGCCAAGGGAUCUACUCGAACUCAAAAUAUAGUUGGUCCAGUGGGAAGAAUCUCAGCACUUAUAGGAAAUAAUCAAUCCACAAGGCGCUUUAUCACUACUGCUACUGGUGCAUUCAAGCUCUUGAAAGCGCUAAGGUAGAGUAGAAAGGGGGCUCAACUUGGAAAUGAUCGGGCUGAUCCGCGUCGUCAGCGUCAACCUUGUCACCGGGGAGGGGAUCUGAGGUUCUGGACUGACGCCUGACGAUAGCCACUGUUCAGGAUAUCAAGCAGGAAUCCGGUGGGAGCUGGAGGGGGAGGCGGCUGGUGAAGUUGCUCUCAGGGUGCUGGUUCUUGGAGACGGACUCGAGUUCGUCGGCACCUGGCGGGGUGAGACGGCGUGCUUCGAGUUCGGUGGCUUUUGGUGUCUCGUGGAGGCCGAGAAGACAAGGAGGAGGCGCUGCUCGGUGGAGAGGAAGGUCGUAGCUGGAGCUGGAUUUCGUGGAGAAGAGGUGACGAUCGUGGAGAGCACUUUUUUUUAGGGACUCGGAGCACUCAAAAAAUGCUAGACACACGGACUGCCCGCUCACAAAUUUUACGGGCUGGCUGAUCUGAAGCUCCGGAGCACUAGAGCAUGGCGUUUUCCCGCUCUGGCCGUGGAAGGGAAUCAAGACAACAACGCCGCUCGACUCCAUGGGCUUUGUGGGCUAUAUCCCACAUGUCAUUUAGUUUUACUGGGCACUCACGUAUGCCAUUUAGAUUUGAUUUCGUGGGUUGCAGGACAUCUGGAUACCGCCACCACUCACACGAAAUCACUAGUUAAGAAGUAUUCGUUGCGAAGAUCAUUCCAAUUCUUCAGGUUGCGACAAGUGACGUGCUGCAUGUGUGUUACUUGUCACAACAUGAGAGUUUUCCUUCUUUUGUAGAUCCGUUUAUUCAAAACGUUUUAUCUCUUAAA